rnacentral:rRNA from 1 species
UGGGGAAUAUUGGACAAUGGGGGCAACCCUGAUCCAGCAAUGCCGCGUGUGUGAAGAAGGUCUUCGGAUUGUAAAGCACUUUCGACGGGGACGAUGAUGACGGUACCCGUAGAAGAAGCCCCGGCUAACUUCGUGCCAGCAGCCGCGGUAAUACGAAGGGGGCUAGCGUUGCUCGGAAUGACUGGGCGUAAAGGGCGUGUAGGCGGUUUACACAGUCAGAUGUGAAAUCCCCGGGCUUAACCUGGGAGCUGCAUUUGAUACGUGUAGACUAGAGUGUGAGAGAGGGUUGUGGAAUUCCCAGUGUAGAGGUGAAAUUCGUAGAUAUUGGGAAGAACACCGGUGGCGAAGGCGGCAACCUGGCUCAUGACUGACGCUGAGGCGCGAAAGCGUGGGGAGCAAACAGGAUUAGAUACCCUGGUAGUCCACGCCUGUAAACGAUGUGUGCUAGAUGUUGGGUAACUUUGUUAUUCAGUGUCGCAGUUAACGCGUU